CGAAGGGGGCUAGCGUUGUUCGGAAUCACUGGGCGUAAAGCGCGCGUAGGCGGUCAUACAAGCCAGGGGUGAAAUGCCGGAGCUUAACUCCGGAACUGCCUUUGGAACUGUAUGACUCGAGUAUUGGAGGGGAGUGGGGAAUACCUAAUGUAGCGGUGAAAUGCGUAGAUAUUAGGUGGAACACCGGUGGCGAAGGCGCCACUCUGGACAAUUACUGACGCUGAGGCGCGAAAGCGUGGGGAUCAAACAGGUUUAGAUACCCUGGUAGUCCACGCCGUAAACGAUGGGUGCUAGCCGUCGGGUCAGCUAAGCUUCGCAAAGCGAAGCUUGGUUGACUCGGUGGCGUAGCUAACGCGUUAAGCACCCCGCCUGGGGAGUACGGUCGCAAGAUUA
rnacentral:rRNA from 1 species